rnacentral:rRNA from 1 species
GUAAAGCUCUGUUGUUAGGGAAGAACAAGUGCGAGAGUAACUGCUCGCACCUUGACGGUACCUAACCAGAAAGCCACGGCUAACUACGUGCCAGCAGCCGCGGUAAUACGUAGGUGGCAAGCGUUGUCCGGAAUUAUUGGGCGUAAAGGGCUCGCAGGCGGUUUCUUAAGUCUGAUGUGAAAGCCCCCGGCUCAACCGGGGAGGGUCAUUGGAAACUGGGAAACUUGAGUGCAGAAGAGGAGAGUGGAAUUCCACGUGUAGCGGUGAAAUGCGUAGAGAUGUGGAGGAACACCAGUGGCGAAGGCGACUCUCUGGUCUGUAACUGACGCUGAGGAGCGAAAGCGUGGGGAGCGAACAGGAUUAGAUACCCUGGUAGUCCACGCCGUAAACGAUGAGUGCUAAGUGUUAGGGGGUUUCCGCCCCUUAGUGCUGCAGCUAACGCAUUAAGCACUCCGCCUGGGGAGUACGGUCGCAAGACUGAAACUCAAAGGAAUUGACGGGGGCCCGCACAAGCGGUGGAGCAUGUGGUUUAAUUCGAAGCAACGCGAAGAACCUUACCAGGUCUUGACAUCCUCUGACAACCCUAGAGAUAGGGCUUUCCCUUCGGGGACAGAGUGACAGGUGGUGCAUGGUUGUCGUCAGCUCGUGUCGUGAGAUGUUGGGUUAAGUCCCGCAACGAGCGCAACCCUUGAUCUUAGUUGCCAGCAUUUAGUUGGGCACUCUAAGGUGACUGCCGGUGACAAACCGGAGGAAGGUGGGGAUGACGUCAAAUCAUCAUGCCCCUUAUGACCUGGGCUACACACGUGCUACAAUGGACAGAACAAAGGGCUGCGAGACCGCAAGGUUUAGCCAAUCCCAUAAAUCUGUUCUCAGUUCGGAUCGCAGUCUGCAACUCGACUGCGUGAAGCUGGAAUCGCUAGUAAUCGCGGA